CUUUUUAAGAGUUUGAUCCUAGCUCAGGAUGAACGCUGGCGGCGUGUUUAAGGCAUGCAAGUCGUACGUAGCCGAUGCGCAGCACCGGAAAUUCGAAAUUCGAAAUUCGAAAUUCGAAACAAAUACCAAAUUUCAAUUUUCAAAUAUCACAAACACGUUUUGAACAUUGUAAUUUUGGUCAUUAGAAUUUGUUUCGGAUUUAGGAUUUUGUGCUUCGUGCUUCCGCUGCUGUGCAGCGGUUUAGUGGCAAACGGGUGAGUAACACACUGGUAACCUACCUUUGAGACGAGGAUAGCUCUCCGAAAGGAGAAUUAAUACUCGAUGGAAAUGCGGGGACAUAAGUCAUUCGUAUUUAAAGUCGCAAGACGCUCAAAGAGGGGCCUAUGUCUGAUUAGCUAGUUGGUGAGGUAAUGGCCCACCAAGGCUUCGAUCAGUAGCAGGCGUGAGAGCGUGACCUGCCUCACUGGGACUGAGACACUGCCCAGACUCCUACGGGAGGCUGCAGUCAAGAAUCUUCCACAAUGGG
rnacentral:ncRNA from 1 species